AUAUAAAUAAACUACAUCAUUCUUCUGCAUUUAAAAAAUUUAAAACAAAUUUAUUUAAUUAUCUAAAAUUGUUGGUUGCAAGAGGCUGCCAAUAUGUUAGCAUCUGCUUACUGCUCUGAUUUUUACAUCUUCAAAUUUGGCUGCUGGAGAUUCUCUUACCUUGUGGAGGGCUUUACUAUGUAAAUAAAACAGCAGUUUGUCAUACUUCAUCUAGCAUUUUUAAUAUUUUGCUGUGGGUAUUUUCCAAAAGGAAGUCCUCUGGCUUGAAUUUCUAAUACCUCCUCCAGCGACAGCAGGCUGUUGUUAUUCGGGUGUGUGUGUCUAAGCAAAGGUGAAUAUUUCCAUUUGAGGAAUAUAGCAUAAGCUAAGUGGAAAGUCUGGGGAAUACAAACUUUUGUAGGGAACACAAGUUCUGUAGUGCAGAGGCUUGAAGGAGAUGAAGAUGAAAUGGUAGUUGCAACCUCAUUGUGGACUCUCCUGAGGGCCAGGUUGCUGAGUUUGGACUUGGUAGGGAGCAACAUACAUUUAUUUUAUUGAUUAACUGAUGUUUUUUAUUUUUAGAGACAGUGUCUCAGUCUGUUGCCCAGCCUGGAGUUUGGUGGCAUGAUCAUGGCUCGCUGCAGUCUCAAACUCUUGGACUCAAACAAUCACCCCACCUCAGCCUCCCAAGUAGGCAAGACUGCAGGUGCAUGCCACCAUGCCUGCUUAUUUUAUUUUAUUUAUUUUUUGAGACGGAGUCUCGCUCUUUCGCCCAGGCUGGUGCAUCUUGGCUCACUGCAAGCUCCGCCUCCCGGGUUCACGCCAUUCUCCUGCCUCAGCCUCCCGAGUAGCUGGAACUACAGGUGCCCGCCACCACGCCUGGCUAAUUUUUUGUAUUUUUAGUAGAGGCGGGGUCUCACAGUGUUAGCCAGGAUGGUCUCGAUCUCCUGACCUCAUGAUCCGCUGGCCUUGGCCUCGCAAAGUGCUGGGAUUACAGGCGUGAGCCACCGCGCCCGACCUAUGCCUGCUAAUUUUAAAAUUUUCUUUGUAGAGACAGAGUCUCACUAUGUUGCCUAGGCUGGUUCAAACUCUUGGACUCAAGCAAUAUUUUUGCGUCUAUCUCCAAAACUGCUGGGAUUACAGGCACAAGCCACUGUGACUGUGUCUAGCCAACAUAAAUUGUUUAAAGCAGGAGUUUGAUAUGGAGGGAGUGUUUUCUUUUUUUCAUCCACUGAUUUGUACUUUAAUUGUUCAAACACUUUUUUUUUUUUUUUUUUUUGGAUACAGAAUCUUGCUUUUUCACCCAGGCUGGAGUCUAGUGGUUCACUGCAGCCUCGACUUCUUCAGCUUAAGCAAUCCUCCUGCCUUGGCCUCCCUAGUAGCUAAGACCACAGGCAUACACCACCAUGCCUAGCUAAUUUUUAAACUUUUUGUAAAGAUGGGCCUCAGUAUGUUGUCCAGACUGGUCUUGAACACCUGGGCUCAAGCAAUCCUCUUUCCUCAGCCUCCCAAAGUGCUGAGAUUACAGGCGUGAGCCACCCCACUGCCUUUAAAUACUUACCAACCCCUUCUACAUCCCAGGAACUUGUGACUGUAGGUUGAUUAGGCUGUUGGAAGUUUGCAGGAUGGCUAGGAUGUAGUGAGGUGGUUACUGCAGUGACCGAGAGGGUGGGUGGUGAGCGCCUAGCCGGAAGGAGUGGCAGAUGAAAGCUGAGACAUGUCAAGGCAGGAAGUGACAGAGUUUGGCAGUAGGGUUGAUGGAGAAGGUGAUGGAAUACCAAAGUUGUGGGUUUCAUACGUGGGUCUCUGGCUGUACUCUGCCACAAUCAUUUAAUUAAGGGUUGUCUUGUGCAUCCAGCAUCUCAGAAAUGGUCUCCUGAGAAAAAAAUGCCUUCAUUUGUCCUUGUACUUUCCUCUCUGGAGCUUGAGUACCAUGGUGGUCCUACAGAAGAAUGCAAAGGGUGGGGAGGCAGACAUUCAUUCAGCAGGUGUUUACUGAGCACUUGUUAUAUGCCAGGCUAUGCUCUGGGUGUUAGGGAGAUCAUGGGGAACAAGAAGUUGGAAGAGUUUGCCAUCACAGAGCAUACAUUUCUGGUGAGGAAGAGACAGAGGAUAAUCGCGUAAACAAACAGAUCGGGAUUUGAGAUGGUGAUGCUAUUUGGGAAGAAAAAGAAGCAAUAAUCGCACAAAGGGACUAGCUUGGAGGAUGAGGGGGCUCUCCCAGAAGUGACAGUCCUAAGACAGAUAACUCAGGGCUGGAGGACAUGACACCAAAAGGGUGUCAGGAUUACAAAGACCUCAGGAAUUUGGAGAAUGGGAGCUGGGUAGAAGAGGAAAAAAAUGUAGAACAGAGUCAUUGCUGGUUUUCAGGAUAAGCGUCUCCUUCCUAAUCCAUUGUCCUGAAAACAACGUCCUCCUUCACCUCACUGGCAGGAAUAGAGUCAGCCUCAGACUUGGAGUUUUCUACCAGGAGUGCUUGAGAAAGAGGUACUGGCUAAAGACUGUCUGGGCUGGGCAGAAAAUGAUCGUGGCUUUCUUCUUCAUCACAAACCCAGAUCCCAAAACCAGUAUGGGGGGAUGGGGGAUGUCCUAUUGAAAGCCAGACUGGAACUAACCCCGUCCCCUCCCUCACAACACUUUUUCCGCACGUCCAUUAGUACACUUAUCAACCUUAGCAUUGGAUCAGAGUUAUUUUUGUCUGUUUGUCUUCCCCCAUGAGAUUGUAAAUUUCUAGAUACUGGACCUGGGCAUUUCCCCCUCUUUGUGGAGAGAUUUUUAACCUUUUGUGGAUCACAUACAUCCGUAAGAAUCUGAUGAAGAGGCCAGGCACGGUGGCUCAUGCCUGCAAUCCAGCACUUUGGGAGACUAAGGUAGGAGGAUGGCUUGAGCCCAGGAGUUUGAGACCAGCAUGGGCAACAUAGCGAGACCCUGUCUCUACAUAAAAUUUAAAAAUUAGCCCAGGCCAAGCAUGGUGGCACACACCUGUAAUCUCAGCAUUUUGGGAGGCUGAGAUGGGUGGAUCACUUGAGUCCAGGAGUUCAAGAUCAGCUUGGGCAACAUCGUGAAACCCUGUCUACAAAAAAUAUAAGAAUUAGCUGGAAGUGGUGGCACUACUAUAGUCCCAGCUACUCGGGAGGCUCAAGAUCACUUGAGCCUGGGAGGCAGAGGUUGCAGUGAGCCAAGAUUGACCACUGCACUCCAGCCUGGGUGACAGAGGGAGACCUUGUCUCAAAAAAAAAAAAAAAAAAAAGCCAAGUGUGGUGGUGCAUGCCUGUGGUCCCAACUACUCAGGAGGCUAAGGUGGGAGGAUCACUUGAGCCCAGGAGUUUGAGGCUGCAAUGAGCUAUGAUCUCACCGCUGUACUCCAGCCUGGGUGACAGAGUGAGAUCCUAUCUAAAAAGAAAGAAAAGAAGAGAAGAGAGAAAAGAAAAAAGGAAUCUGGUGAAGAAACGGUUACACUUUCCCCAGAAGUUUGCUCGUCUCCUGUAUAUUUUGCAUACUAUUUUGGGAGGAGGUACACAGUCCCCUGACCCCUAUACAUGGAUCCCUAGUUAAGAACUCUGCCUGAAGCUUUACCCAGUGCCUGGUAUGUUCUUGGAGUCUGAUGACUUGGGAAUAUUCUCCUUAUUAAAUCUCCUUGCUCUAGUUGCAGGGGACAGAUGUUAGGUGGGAGAAAGAGAGCCAGGAAGAACCCUGCUGCUGGGAGAUGCAGAAGAGUGUUUAAAUCAUCCAUCUGGAAGCAGCCAUCCAGAGAGCAGUAGCUUCACCCUCACUUCCUGUCCCGGCAGAACCGGAGUGAACUAGCUGAAGUUAUUGCCACUCAGUUGGGGGUGGAUCAUGCAUGUUCCCAACUCAGCUGCCUUUAGGGGUGAUCCAUGCACUGACACCCUGCAUUGACAUUGAUAUUGGAGAGUAACCUGCAAAGAAGUUAUUGUUGAUGUUGAAUUGAAUUUUCACAUUGCACGAGAAAGGCCAAGGCUCGACAUUCUUCAUCCAACAGGUUCCUUUGUUGCACACUCCCGUCCUGAGAAACGGAACCCAUUCCAGUGUACAGCUUCUUAAAUAAAAGGCAAAUGGAGUCAUGA